rnacentral:hammerhead_ribozyme from 1 species
AGCUAGCUGACGAGUCCCAAAUAGGACGAAAUGCGCGUUGUCCUAGAU